AAAAAAAAAAGGAAGUUAUCAGGGAAGGACUAAAACACAGGAUAGAGAAGAUGGCGUUAGACACUGCGAUAAGCUAGAAAACCAAGAGAAGGGAGAGUCCAAGAGGAGCCAAAUGGGAGGCAUCAGAGGAAACGAAGAGGACGAAAGGAGGAAGACUAGAUCCCAUCAAAUGGAAAACCAAAAGAGUAAAAGAAGAAAGAAGAGGGGAAGUGAAACAUCUCAGUAGCCUCGAGAAGGAAUCAAAGGAGAAACCCUGGGUAGUGGCGAGCGAGAGGGGGAAGAAAAAAGGCGAAGUAAGUUCUUAGAAGAAAUGAGGACGGAAGAAAGUAGGGCCACCUGCUAGCCGAAGAGACGUCAUGUGAUUGAGAGUGAAAGAGUACCGUGAGGGAAAGUAGGAAACUGAUCAACUGGAAUCCAUUAGGAGCUUCAAAAAGAAGUGACUGAGUACUUAUGGUAUAAUGGACCAACGAGUUGUGGCAAGGAGGAAGAGUCUAAGCGGAAACGUGGAGGCAGAAGAGUGAAGGACGAGAAGGAUGAAGAAGUCCAAAAGGAAGACCUCAGGCGACAGACCCGAAACGCGGCGAUCUACCCAUGACCAAGUUGAAGCUUACGUAACAGGAAGUGGAGGACUGAACCAGUGACCGUUGUAAAGGUCUUGGAGGAGUGGUGGGUAGGGGUGAAAGGCUAAGCAAGCUGCGUGAUAGCUGGUUCUCUUCGAAAGCUGUUUAAGCAGCGCAAUCUCGAGAACGAUCUGGUAGAGCAAGGGUCUAGAGAGGGCUUGUCAAAGAGUACGGAUCUAGGUUAAACUGCGAAUAAGAUGGGGAAGAAAAACGAGAGGAGUUCAACGGUGGUAGAGAAGUACCAUGCGUUAAGAGGGAGACAGCCCAGACCAAAGGAUAAGGCCCCAAAGGAGCGUGAAGUGAAGAAGGAAGUGAUGAACCGAAGACAGGCAGGCGGUAGGCUUGGAAGUAGCCAUCCGAUAAUGAACGUGUUAAAGCGUGCUGAACGAGGUGAGUGGCAUCGAAAAUACGAGGGACUCAAACGCAAAGCCGAAGCCAUGGGCAUACGAAAGAAAAGGAUGCGGUAGAAGAGCGAUCUGUGAGUAGGCGAGAAGCCAAAGUGGGAUGACGUGAGUGAUGAAGAAACCACAAAAAAGGACGAUCAGAAGUGAGAAUGUUGGUAUGAGUAACGAAAAAGACUGUGAGAAGCAGGAUGGCCGAAAGCCCAAAGGUUCCAAGGAAGAGGAAUAGGACUUGGGUAAGACGGUCUCUAAUCGAAAGCUGAAAGGCGAGGCGAGAUGAGGAAGUCGAAAGUGAAGGUGAAGCGGAGGAUCGAGGAAGAAAGGCCCAGAGAGGAAGCGGAAACCCAGGAAAGAACAGAGACGAAAAAAACCGUACUAGAAACCGACACAGGUGGGCAGGUGCGGGAUGCACCAAGGCAUAGGGGGAAUGGGCCUAAAGGAACUCGGCCAAAUGACUCUGUAACUUAGGAAGAAAGAGGACUACACUGAGAAAAGGUGGAGUCGCAGGGAGUGGGUCGGUGCGACUAGGUAACAACACUACAAUCCCCUGCUAACGAGGAAUCGGAAGUAUAGGGAAUGAGAGCUGCCCAAUGCCUGGAAGUGAACGAACUGGCUGGAAGGUUAGGACUUAAGCACAGGUAAAUGGCCGCGGUAACUCUGACCGUGCAAAGGUAGCAAUAUUCUUUGUCCACUAAUUAUGGUCGUGAUCGAGUGCUGUAACGACGCCGACACUGUCUCUAGGCCCAGCCCAGUGAAAUUGGAGUGGCAGUGAAGAUACUGUCAAACGUGAGGUAGACGAAAAGACCCCAUACACCUUAACUGAAUGGAUGAAUGGUGAUGGAUCGUGAGCGUGAGUAGGAGAGGUGGGAGCUGAAAGGCGGAAGGUGAAAGACCACUCGCGGAAGGAGACACACUGACUUUGAAGCGGAGAGAAGAGAAGGACACUUCGUCUGUGUUAGUUUAGCUGGGGCGGCUGUCUUCUAAAGAGUAACGAAGACGUGCAUAAGGCAAGCUCAGUUGGACCUAGAUCCAACAAAGAGCACAAGGGUAAAUGCUUGCUUGACUGUGAGGGUGACAACCCAAGCAGGGGUGGGAGUAGGAAAACGAAACUGCCGGUCCUAGUGAUCUGUAAGUACCAAGUGGAAGGGCUUACACAUAUCGGACAAAAGGUACGUUGGGGAUAACAGGCUUAUGUCCCUUUAGAGUUCAGAUUCAUGGGGACGAUUGGCACCUCGAUGUCGAUUCAACACAGCCUGGGGGUGAAGUAGCUCCCAAGGGUGCAGCUGUUCGCUGCCUAAGGUGUUACGCGAAUUGGGUUCAAACCGUCGUGAGGCAGGUUGGUCUCUAUCUUCUCAAGUGGAAGGGAGUAGUGAGAGAGGCUGUUCAUAGUACGCAAGGACCUGAAUGGACUAACCAAUGGUGGACGGGCUGUUUGUAAAGGAAGAAGCAGGCCAGGUAGCUACGUUAGGGAUGGAUAAGAGCUGAAAGCAUAUGAAGCACGAAGCCAGUCUCAAGAACUAGUAAGAGAACGUCAAAGUCGAUGACGAGAUAGGCUGGAGGUGAAGCCCAUGUGAGUGGAGAAGCUGACGAGUACUAAAGAAGGAAAGAAAAAGGAA
rnacentral:rRNA from 1 species